GACGAACGCUGGCGGCGUGCUUAACACAUGCAAGUCGAACGAAGUGGGAAAGGGUGAGUAAUACGUGGGUAACCUCCCUCCUUUUUGGGAUAAGCCUUGGAAACGGGGUCUAAACCGAAUAGAUGGGCUCGCGGCUUAUCAGCUUGUUGGUGGGGUGAUGGCCUACCACGGCGGUGACGUGUAGCCGGCCUGAGAGGGUGACCGGCCACAUUGGGACUGGUGACCGGCCCAGACCCCUACGGGAGGCAGCAGUGGGGAAUCUUCCGCAAUGGACGACAGGCUGACGGAGCAACGCCUGGUGAUAGGUGACGGCCUUCGGGUUGUAAAGCUCUGUUAAGCGGGACGCGGUACCGGAAUAGAAAGCCACGGCUAACUACGUGCCAGCAGCCGCGGUAAUUC
rnacentral:rRNA from 1 species